AUGCCUGGCGCCACCAGGGGCACUGACCGGGAUGACUUCGGGAGCCCUGCCGAGUGGGGUGACCAGCAGCCAGAAGAUGGUGUGCUGGGAGAAGAAGACGCCCAGGUCCAGCAAGAAUGCCUGCGGAAAUUUUCUACCCCAGAUUAUAUCAUGGAACCCUCUGUCUUCAACACUUUGAUGAGAUAUUUCCAGGCAGGAGGGUCUCCAGAGGAGGUGAUCCGCCUCUUAUCAGACAACUACACAGCUGUGGCCCAGACCAUCAACCUGCUGGCCCAGUGGCUCAUUCAGACCGGGGAGGAACCAGUGCAGGUUCAGGAAACUGUGGAAAACCACUUGAAGAACUUAGUGAUGCAACACUUUGACCCCCGCAAAGCAGAUUCUAUCUUUACAAACGAAGGGGCAACCCCCGCCUGGCUGGAACAAAUGAUUGCACAUCCCACCUGGAGGGAUCUUGUUUACCGGCUGAUGGAAGUGCACCCAGACUGUCUGAUGCUGAAAUUCACGGUCAAGCUCAUUUCUGAUGCAGGAUACCAAGGCGAGAUCACUGGCGUGGUGGCAGCCUGCCAGCAGCUGGAAGUGUUCUCUAGAGUUCUCGGGAGCUCUCUAGCUACCAUUUUGGAUGGAGGAGAAGCCCACCUUGCAGAAAAUCUGCCUCAGUUUUCUAAGAUGGUGUGCCACGGGGAGCACACGUACCUGCUGGCUCAGGUCCUGAUGGCCGUGCUGGCCCAGGAAGGCCAGCGGGGUGGGGCAGUGCGCAGGGUCGCACAGGAGGUCCAGCGCUUUGCCCAGGAGAGCGGCCACGAUGCCAGUCGCAUCCCGCUUGCCCUGGGCAGAGCUGCCUCCUACCCCAGGCUGUGCCAGGCCCUGGGGGCCAUGCUGUCCAAGGGGGCCCUGAAUCCAGCCGACAUCACCGUUCUCUACAACCUAUUUGUUACCAGCAAGGACCCGCCUCCUGUCGAGCUCAUCCGGGUACCCGCCUUCCUGGACCUGUUCAUGCAAUCGCUCUUUAAACCCGGGGCCAGGAUUAACCCAGACCACAAGCACAAGUAUAUCCAUCUCUUGGCCUACGCGGCCAGUGUGGUGGAGAUCUGGAAGAAGAACAAACGCCUGAGCAUCAAUCAAGAUGAGCUGAAGGCAACGGCGAAGGCUAUCGAAACUGUUCACAGUUUGUGCUGUGCUGAGAACAUAGGGGCAAGCGAGCUCCUGGCCGAGCUGGGCACCCUCUAUAGGUGCAUCAGAUUUCCAGUAGUGGCAGUGGGUGUGCUGACGUGGGUGGACUGGACCGUGUCGAAGCCCACGUUCUUCGAACAGCACACCCACUCCACACUGGUGCCCCUGGCCCUGCUGGACGAGGUCAGCACCUACCAUCCCCUCCUGCACCCCCACAUCUUGCAACUGCUGAUCAAGCUCUUGGAGACCAAGUACCCCGAGCUAGAUGCCAUGAAGCAGCUCGAGGUGAAGAAGACCCUCCUGGACAGGAUGGUGCACCUGCUGAGUUGCGGCCAUGUGCUCCCCGUGGUUGCCUACAUCCGCAGGUGUCUGGAGAAGCUGGACACCGACCUGUCUCUCAUCCGCUACUUUGUGACCGAGGUGCUGGAUAUGAUCAUCCCUCCUUACACAUCUGACUUUGUGAGGCUUUUCCUGCCCAUCCUGGAAAACGACAGCAUUGCUAGCACCCUGAAAAGGGCGGGUGAACAUGACCCUGUGAUGGAGUUCAUAGCUCACUGCCAGUCUAACUUCAUGCUGCUGGACUGA
rnacentral:lncRNA from 1 species